UUCUUGAGGUAGUCUUUCUUCUAAUGGCACUCAGCUGACCAAGUUAAAGUACUCUGAUUCUUACCUGCCUGUCUGCAUUCCUCUACUGAUGAAGAAUGUAAGGUGCUCUGUCCCUGGUUGUCCCAAGGCAAGGCUGGAUCAAACUCUGGGCAACCUGAUCUUGUCCCUGUUCAUUGCAGAAGAUUUGGAUUAGAUGGCCUUCAGGAGUCCCUUGCAACCAUAACUGCUGAAAAUUUUAAACAAACCAGAGCUCUGGCAGGACCCUGCUAGACGCUUCGUCCAAACAUAUCAUCUUACAACUCAGAUAAAAGGAUCUGCUGGAUUUUCUUUUGGCUGAGAUAAGACAUUUGUAUUCAUUGAAACCAAUGUUAAUGUAUGAAGGGCAGCUACACACAGAUGUGUUUCCUCGCUCUCCUUCUACAUCAGCAGGCUGCUGCUGUGCCCCUGUUAGCUCAGCUUUUUAUCGUGUCUUUGGAGUGCAGACGCUUCCCGGACAGACAACUGCACGAGGGCUGCUGAUUUUCAACCAGUGGCCUGCAAACAUCACGUUGCUGUGACUCAGCAGAGGACCUUUUUCUGGAGAGGCACUCCACCUGAGCUUUCCACAGCAGCCAAUGUGUCACAUAACUUCUCUUAUGAGGCUCCUGAAGUCCUGGGGGUCAGCCUGCAAAGUGAAAAAUGCAGAGAUCUAGGAAUGGCUCAGCCAGCUGAAAGUUACGGGAAGGGAAAGGCUCCAGUUUCACUGAAGGAAAAAAAAAAAAGAAGAAGAAGAAGAAUGGCUCCUUUCAAUGCAGACGGAGGCAGUCUGGCUGAGAGUCAGUGAGGUUUAAAAAUCCAAGAGGUCCAAUAACUGAAAAUCUGUAUAGAUUCAAAGCAAUGUUUUAAAUACCGCACAAGUGUAGAUAAAAAAAAAUUUAAAAAAAGCAUGUGAUGGUUUUUCCAUCCUCCUAGUGCACAUAGCCAACCAUGUCCCAAAACCAGGCAGUAUUUCUUCCCCCUAAGACCGUGAGCACAUGUG